rnacentral:rRNA from 1 species
GAUGAACGCUGGCGGCGUGCCUAACACAUGCAAGUCGAACGAAAGGACCAGAAGCUUGCUUCUCUGAUGUUAGCCGCGGACGGGUGAGUCACAUGUGUAUAACCUACCUCUCUGACUGGGAUCAUUUCGGGACACCGGAUCUAAUACCGGAUGAUAUUUUGCACCUCGUUGUUCAAAAGUUAGAUUCGGUCUUUCUGUCAGUAAUCGCUGCAUCCGCGCUGCAUUGUCUAGUUGUUAAGGUAACGGCUUACCAAGGCUAGGAUGCGUAACCGACCUGAGAGGGUGAUAGGCCACACUGGAGCUGAGACGCGGUCCAGACUCCUGCGGGAGGCAGCAGUAGGGAAUCGUACGCAAUGGGGGAGAGCCUGACGGAGCAAGGGCGCGUGAGUGAUGAAGGUGUUCGGAUCGUAAAGCUCUGUUAUUAGGGAAGAACAUAUGUGUAAGUAACUGUGGAGAUAUUGACGGUACCGGAUAAGAAAGCCACGGCUAACUACGUG